rnacentral:rRNA from 1 species
CCUGACCCAGCAACGCCGCGUGAGGGAAGAAGGCCUUCGGGUUGUAAACUUCUUUUAUCUGGGACGAAACAAAUGAC